rnacentral:rRNA from 1 species
GACGAACGCUGGCGGCGUGCUUAACACAUGCAAGUCGAACGAUGAACUUCCAGCUCGCUGGGGGGAUUAGUGGCGAACGGGUGAGUAACACGUGAGUAACCUGCCCUGGACUCUGGGAUAACCCCGAGAAAUCGGAGCUAAUACCGGAUAGGACCUUGCACCGCAUGGUGUGGGGUGGAAAGUUUUUUUGGUCUGGGAUGGACUCGCGGCCUAUCAGCUUGUUGGUGAGGUAAUGGCUCACCAAGGCGUCGACGGGUAGCCGGCCUGAGAGGGUGACCGGCCACACUGGGACUGAGACACGGCCCAGACUCCUACGGGAGGCAGCAGUGGGGAAUAUUGCACAAUGGGCGCAAGCCUGAUGCAGCAACGCCGCGUGCGGGAUGACGGCCUUCGGGUUGUAAACCGCUUUUAGUAAGGAAGAAGGGGCUUCGGCCUUGACGGUACUUGCAGAAAAAGGACCGGCUAACUACGUGCCAGCAGCCGCCGUAAGAC